rnacentral:ribozyme from 11 species
AAAGGAAGAGAGAGAGACAAUGACAGAAAGACAGAGUCGCUGAAAUCACCCGCCGCAUGUUUGCUCAGGGCUCUUUCUCUUUUUGUCUUCCAUUCUCCAUCUCUUUUCUUCUGGAAGCCUCUUAAAAACGGUUUUUUUGUCCUGUGAGAUGACUCAAAGAAAAAU